rnacentral:rRNA from 1 species
GGCGUAGGGCGCGAGCGUUGUCCGGAUUUAUUGGGCGUAAAGAGCUCGUAGGCGGCUCGUUGCGUCGGCUGUGAAAACCCGCAGCUCAACUGUGGGCUUGCAGCUGAUACGGGCGGGCUGGGAUUCGGUAGGGGAGACUGGAAUUCCUGGUGUAGCGGUGAAAUGCGCAGAUAUCAGGAGGAACACCGGUGGCGAAGGCGGGUCUCUGGGCCGAUAUCGACGCUGAGGAGCGAAAGCGUGGGGAGCGAACAGG